rnacentral:lncRNA from 1 species
GCCCUGUGAGGAUACCCACUGCAUCUUAUUCCGUCAACAUUUCCUGAGAACUUAACCUGGACCAAGCACUAGGGAUGCAACGAUUAAAGGAAGGGUCCUUACCCUUCAGGAGCUCACAGUCCAGUGGGGAAGACAGACUUAAGUAAUUACAGGCGAGUGUAAUAAACGCUUUGUAGAACACGCCGUACGCGUUGCUAAAGGCGGGCAGUGAAGAGCAGCUGCCCCUGGGACUCAUCUGGAUUUGUGCUCAACGGCUUAAGGGCAGAGAAGGAAAGAGACCUGCCUUUCUCAUGUGAACACUGGAUAAUUUUCAAGAGCCAGGUGAGCAGAGAGUGCUGCUGCUAGUGGAGAUGACCUGAAAAUAUGCCAGGUAAGGCUGAAUUCUACACUUAGAACUCCAUUGACUGCCAGAAAACCUUGC